UUCUUUUUGUCAUUUACUACAUUCUCAUGCAUUGUAAACAAGCUUAGACUGAUUUGCUUCUGAAGAUAAAUUCAGGAAUUUUUGAAAAUUCCUAAAUGUAAAUAGAUUCCAAUUAAAACUGCAAAAAGGAGGAAGAGACAGGAGAGUAAACACUGAGUGCAGUGAUGACACUGGCCAGGAAGAGAGAGACGCUUACAGCCCAAGAGGAGCAGUGAAGAUUGUGGUAUGUUUUCUGUGGUACAGUGGUUGUGCUAAUGACAUGGAAUUUCUGGAUGAAGAGCUGGGGAAUGUACUACGAGUGCAGUUAGGACAAAGACUUCAACAGUGUUAAAUUUCUUCCUCAGCUCUAGAAAUGUGGAGAACAGAAUAUUUCCCAGGGACUGAAAACUGAAUGGCAGUUUUGGUGAUCUGUGAACCAGAAGCCUAUGCCUUGUCUCGCAAAUGGAGAUUUUUAUGAAUUCAGUGAAAUAAAUUUCACUGAAUUUAUGAAUUCUCACAAAUCCAGAAUCAUUUUCCUUUUUGGAUAUACUUGGAGUGAGUGCCUUCUGCAACCUUGCAUGACUGAACUUUUGGUCUGUUUAGAGGCAGGAUGUUAGAGCUGUAAGGUCUCAUACUGCUGGGCUAGCCAGUCAUCCUCAAAGGCCUCUUUUGUCCCAGUUCAGAUAGAAAGUAAUGCACAUUUUGGGGAUGCUCAAAAUACCUCACACUUACCAGUCUCUGAUCAUUUUGCUGUAAGAUAAUUGUGUGACCUCUGUGAGCUGCUGUGGUUGUGUGACUGAAUGGGACUGAUUACACACAAAACCAUGAGGAGAAAUGCCAGCACCUACAGAGCAGUGGCUUUUUGGGGUUCCAUGUUUGCAGUGUUGUGAAAUGAUAUUUUUAAUAAAUAGUUCUGAAAUCCAUUUGCUUCAGAGAUGAAGCCAAGUUAAGAACAGUUUGUACAACUACUUGUUCACCCUCAGGCCACGCUGUUGCUCUCGGAGUUGAGCCAAAAUACUGCAUUGCAGUGUCUGCCAAAAUGAGGUUUGUCUGCUUGCCUUAAGUAGAGUUGUGGUUUUCUGGGGAGUUCUUUGUUUGUUUUGUUUUGGUGUUGAGGGGCUUUUCCAUCUAAAUUUUUCCUAACUGGGAUAGCUACAUUAUUUCUCUUCACUCCUUUUGCUUGGAAUUACCUGCAGAGUCUAUAUGGUCAUAAAGGUCCUUAGUUCAUGCAUGGAAUAUUUGCUUCUCAGUCCUGGAAACUGGAGUGGGGUGUGGGAAGAACACUAAAAUGCAGCAGUAUGACUAAAAGCAUUUUCAAAAAGCAAACAACAGGCUUUAACUUCUGCUGAGGAGGCUGUGAAGUAGAUCUAAUGACAUUGAUCUAUAGGAAGCUUUUCAAAAGCAGGUCUCCAGCAAAUCAGCAAUGUUUUGUACAACACAAACAACAAUUUUAAGCCACAGCUGAAAAUUCUGUAUGGAGACUUGCAAAGUAUUUGUAAAUUAGAGUUGAAAAAAUGACCUAACUCUGCUAAGCAAGCAGCCAUGUGUCCCAGGAGAGCAGGCAAACCCAGGAAGGGGAACCAAGAGCAGCUGUGCGGUGACUUUUCAUCACAUGAUGCAGCUGCAGCCUGAUGGUUGCACAUCUUUCCUCCAUCAGGACAAGGGUAGAGUUAGACAAGGGUGCAGUUAUUACAGGGUACCAGCACUAAAAUGGCAAAUCUCUUGUGUUUCCAGUGUGAUGUGCAUUGUCCCCACACUGAUUUCAGUGCUUCUUUCAUGUGUUUUGCUUAAACCAGGAACGUGAACUGAGUUUUACUCUAUCAAAACUAAAUUAACUCAAGGUCUGACUCUACAUUUGCUCAAUUUUCUCCAUUUCUCACACGUGCACUUGCUUUCACUUGUACCAUAAAUUAUUUUUGGCGUGUCGUGCCAGCUGGUCUUGAAUCUUAGAGGUCAGUUCCUUGUAAAGGCUUUACCAAAGAACACUUGGCUAAUGCAGUACAAGCAGCAUUGCGGCAAAUUUAGAAAAUUUGAGGACAAAAAGUUCUUGAGCACUUAAGAGUUAUGCUGAACAAAUAGUGCUACUGAAUUUGGAUUAAAAAUUCUUAAAUUUGUGCAUAGAGAUGUCCAGCUGUUGGAAAUUAUUCUCUGUUUUCUCUGAAUGUGGACUGACUGAACUUUGUGUUGUUGAUAUGGGGGCUGCUUAAUACAAAAAAUAGAGACAGCAGAGAAAAAACCAAAAUGGUCAUUAGACCUAACUGAAGGGAAGAAAAAACCAGAUUGGAGCAUUUCUUUUAACUAACCAUUGUUAAACUGUUGCUGUAGAAUGAUACCCUGUAAACUAUAAAUGGAUAUAGUUGGAAAUAACAUCCCAUUGCCUGACAUUGCAAACAAGUGAUUAAAUUCAUGAUUACUUGAUUGAUUUCGUAAUUCCAGCUUAUGUAUGGUUAAGUUGGUAUCAUAAACUGUGCCCAAAUAAAUAUUGUUAAAAUCAACAGAAUGAAAAAAAGGAAGAUUUGUACUAGAAGAAAGAGAUGCAUCUCAUUUUAUAACCUCCUAACUUCUGCUGCCAAGAUUCUACUUUGGUUUUAAGACCGCUGCCAGUUUUAGAGCUGUCAUUUUAUUCGAAAGCUGGUAUUGUCAGAUUUUACCAACAGGUUUUCAUUGCUGGAUUUAAAGGAGUAAUGUUUCCCCCAGCAGUCAGGUAAGCCUCAGAGAGUUACAAGAAAUGCAGAGAGACACCUGAAUCUCAGGCUUUGUAUCACUGUGUAUGUAUUAGACAGGGAUCAGAAAACUCACUCUGUGUCUUGCUUUCCUUUCCAAAAGAACAACCCCCCUGUGGAAGCAGUGCUGAGCUGGGACCUUCUCCUAGAGGGCAACAAACUGAUACAUUUAUAUCUGAAUGUGAACUCCAAAGGAUUGUCCCAGCAGAACAACAGACCAUGGCGGUGUUCACGACUGUUUUCUCAACAUAGUUUAGCAACCACCGAUUCAGCUAUACCAACAUAAAAUGUGUAUUUUUCUUUUAAAAAUAACAAUGAUAUUGAUACGAAGGCA